rnacentral:rRNA from 1 species
UACGUAGGUGGCAAGCGUUGUCCGGAUUUAUUGGGUUUAAAGGGUGCGUAGGCGGCAUUAUAAGUCAGUGGUGAAAGCCGAUCGCUUAACGAUCGAACUGCCAUUGAUACUGUAGUGCUUGAGUAUAGUUGAGGUAGGCGGAAUUGACGGUGUAGCGGUGAAAUGCAUAGAUAUUGUCAAGAACACCAAUUGCGAAGGCAGCUUACUAAAGUAUAACUGACGCUGAGGCACGAAAGUGCGGGGAUCAAACAGG